GAUGAACGCUAGCUACAGGCUUAACACAUGCAAGUCGAGGGGAAACGGCAUUGAGUGCUUGCACUUUUUGGACGUCGACCGGCGCACGGGUGAGUAACGCGUAUCCAACCUUCCCAUUACUGUGGGAUAACCUGCCGAAAGGCAGACUAAUACCGCAUAGUCUUCGAUGACGGCAUCAGAUUUGAAGUAAAGAUUUAUCGGUAAUGGAUGGGGAUGCGUCUGAUUAGCUUGUUGGCGGGGUAACGGCCCACCAAGGCAACGAUCAGUAGGGGUUCUGAGAGGAAGGUCCCCCACAUUGGAACUGAGACACGGUCCAAACUCCUACGGGAGGCAGCAGUGAGGAAUAUUGGUCAAUGGACGGAAGUCUGAACCAGCCAAGUAGCGUGCAGGAUGACAGCCCUAUGGGUUGUAAACUGCUUUUGUAUGGGGAUAAAGUUAGGGACGUGUCCCUA
rnacentral:rRNA from 1 species